rnacentral:rRNA from 1 species
AGUGAACGCUGGCGGUAGGCCUAACACAUGCAAGUCGAACGGCAGCACAGUAAGAGCUUGCUCUUACGGGUGGCGAGUGGCGGACGGGUGAGGAAUACAUCGGAAUCUACUUUUUCGUGGGGGAUAACGUAGGGAAACUUACGCUAAUACCGCAUACGACCUACGGGUGAAAGCAGGGGAUCUUCGGACCUUGCGCGAUUGAAUGAGCCGAUGUCGGAUUAGCUAGUUGGCGGGGUAAAGGCUCACCAAGGCGACGAUCCGUAGCUGGUCUGAGAGGAUGAUCAGCCACACUGGAACUGAGACACGGUCCAGACUCCUACGGGAGGCAGCAGUGGGGAAUAUUGGACAAUGGGCGCAAGCCUGAUCCAGCCAUACCGCGUGGGUGAAGAAGGCCUUCGGGUUGUAAAGCCCUUUUGCUGGGAAAGAAAAGCAGCAGGUUAAUACCCCGCUGUUCUGACGGUACCCAAAGAAUAAGCACCGGCUAACUUCGUG